rnacentral:rRNA from 1 species
AUGGAAGGCCCUACAGCGGGUGCGGACCCGUUCACGGGCUCUGGCGAUGCCGCUGUUGACAGUCUGGUGCUCGGCGCGGCAGCUAUGUCGGUCAGGGCUUCAAGCCAGGAAGGGAAGGGGGAAGGAGGUGCAGAUGAGCAAUCAAGUGGCAUGCCUUCCCUUUCUCAUGAAAGCCCCUUGGUGCUGCGGUCUGUGGCUGCGCAGGAAGAGGCAGGAGCGGCAGGGCGUGGAGAGGAAGGGGGGACGUCUUGCAUCGAGGUUCUGGGCGACGUGCAUGCCCCCUCCUCUGCAUGUACGCCCAUUGGUGCAUUUGCGGGCCCGGAGCUAGAGAGCAUGGACGAUGGAGCAUCUGCUGGCGCUGACCAAUCCUCAAGUCUGCUCGGUCAAGACGGUGAAGAUCUGACUGGGGGAGCAUAUGGGCCGCAUUCCCCUCGUGGUUGCCCGCAAGGGCCCAGGCCCAGCCCUGCUACCCCCGCUCCUCCCUCUUGCCCCGUUGGUUUUGUGGCUUUGGGGGACGACGUAGCUCUCCGUGAGCCAGGCCCAAAUGAUCAUCAGGAUUGCAAUGAGAUGGCCCUGCCGGAUGGGGGCGGGGGCGGUGGGGAUCUGGCUGAUCCAUUGAGCCGUUUCCUCAUCGUCUGCUCCUCCCCUGCCUCUGCUGCUCUACUACCCACGCCAAUCCCAGAUCCAGACAGGAGGGGUGCGCCAACAGAGAAAAUCACCAGGAGGAGCAGCGGCAGGCUGGCUGCCAAGCCGACGGCAACCUGGCCCACCAUGGAUAAGGUUCAACUCGUCCUGAUAAAGAAGGCCGGCAUUAUCACCGAAGAUGCACCGCCUCCUGAGGUCGCGCCGGCAGCUCUAGAGCGCUACAGAGCAAUCUUCAAGCAGCCUCUGCCGGACAACUUCAUUGAAGCAAUCGAAUCCCUGCUGGAGGUGACGAGCAAGAAGAAGAAAGGUGGGGGUGGAGGCCCGGGGCAGGUGCAGCCGAUCCCUGUCUGA